GGUUGGACUGGAAGUAGCCGAAAUGUCAGAGAAUGGGAGUUGAUACUCAGGGAGAUAAAAACAUAAAAGCAAAUCGUUUUUUAAAUGUAUUAAACCAAGUGUACUGGAUAUGUUUCCCAAGCAACUGCCCUCAGGUGGAAUUCCGAAAAAACAAAGUGGAUUUUGAGAAUCUGUGGGGUGGAAAUAGAACAAUAGCAUCUUUGGGAAAGGUUCUUUAGUUCAGCGACCCAUUUGCUCUCUGACUACCGUUGCCUGAAAUACCCGUAAACAUAUCAGGCCGCGGAGGAGGGCGAAGUGAAAGAAACAUUUUCAGUAUCGUAUCCCGCCCCCCACCUAGAGAUGGCCUCGCGUGUUAUUCUACAAAGGUCUGGACAUAAUUACUACACCAUCUUACUUGCAAAUGGGUCUGGACACCUUCUCUCCUUGAUCGAGUUCUCUGUUCUGCUAACCAAGUGUUUGCUUCAGAAGCCUGAUAACCUCUCUAUCACCAAACACCAACCGGCCGAGACCAAGUGAGCCAUGCAGGUCAGCUCCAGUACCCUGGACAACCUGGAGAAUCAAAGACUCCAACCUCCAGUUUCCCAUCUGAAGCUCUUCAGUGAGGCACAGGUUACCUCAGAGUGGGAGAUCAAAUGCAAGGCCACACAACUUCACACGUGCCCAGGUUUGCAGAGGGCCUAGGAGCAAUUGCUGCAUCUUGCCUCCUUGUCUACAUGUGUUAAUUGGUUUGCUCCCUGAAUUGUUAAUUGUUAUCAUUAAGAAAUAAA